UACGUAGGGUGCAAGCGUUAAUCGGAAUUACUGGGCGUAAAGGGCGCGUAGGCGGCCUUCUAAGUCGAACGUGAAAUCCCCGGGCUCAACCCGGGAACUGCGUCCGAUACUGGAAGGCUUGAAUCCGGGAGAGGGAUGCGGAAUUCCAGGUGUAGCGGUGAAAUGCGUAGAUAUCUGGAGGAACACCGGUGGCGAAGGCGGCAUCCUGGACCGGCAUUGACGCUGAGGCGCGGAAGCCAGGGGAGCAAACGGG
rnacentral:rRNA from 1 species